AACGAACGCUGGCGGCAGGCUUAACACAUGCAAGUCGAGCGCCCCGCAAGGGGAGCGGCAGACGGGGUGAGUAACGCGUGGGAACAUACCCUUUGGUUCGGAAUAACUCAGGGAAACUUGAGCUAAUACCGGAUACGUCCGUAAGGAGAAAGAUUUAUCGCCAAAGGAUUGGCCCGCGUCCGAUUAGCUAGUUGGUGAGGUAAACGGCUCACCAAGGCUACGAUCGGUAGCUGGUCUGAGAGGAUGAUCAGCCACAUUGGGACUGAGACACGGCCCAAAACUCCUACGGGAGGCAGCAGUGGGGAAUAUUGGACAAU
rnacentral:rRNA from 1 species